rnacentral:lncRNA from 1 species
AGUGAGCAUUUAAUGUAGCAAAUAAACAAUUUUUGUGGAAAUUUAAAAUUUAUCAUAAGCUUAGUAACAUGAUUUUGUGCAUUCAUGCUGAGACAUAUUUUAUUUUGUGGUGAUUGUAUUUGGUUUAUAUUUAAUUGUCCUCAAAAUCCUUUUUGAAAAAGGCUUUGAAAAAAAAGAGAAUAAAACAAAACAGAAAAGAAAUUGGAAAUAGGAGAAAAAAAAAGCCUUCCAGCCGCAGCCAGCAGCAGGCCGAGGCC